UAUUGGGGGAGCCGUUGUUGGAAGAAGUCUAGGUUCCUGAAUGUCCAGUGGUUGUAGAUUUAUUGUCAGGAGAGACACUUUUGAGAGUGAAUGGGUGCCAACUAUAUGGGAUGUGGUACAACCUACAUAAACCAGGACUGGCAACUAGGGCCAUGGGGUCCGCCUGCUGAAUCACCAGUGGAAGGCCGUCCUCCCUUUCCUGGUCAAACCACUGAUAUUUGGUCAUUACACCAGUUAGCCUAUAUGGGCCCUUGUUGAUGGACCUUAAGCGUUUGGACCUCCAGUUGUUUGUUGUUAUGAAUAAUGCUACAGCAUGCCAAAGAUUAUCUUUGUGCACUUGUAAGAAGCAACUCAAUCCUGCAGGAAGAUGAUGGAAGUCAGUUGGCACCUGCCUGGGUAAUGCAGAAGAUGGGACAGAUAACUGAGAUAUAGACUAUAACAGGAAAGAGUUUGGGUUCUUUUCCGUCGACACUCCCCAUGGUACUGACCCAAGGCCGGAGAGGUGGAGUGGGUGUCUGUUCCACGUGGUCAGUUGGCCCAGGACCCAGGUGGAGGGCUCUGCUACCUUCAACACGUGCCAAAGACCAUCCUCUCAGUAGUGGCUAAACUCCAGGAGGCAGGAAUGCACCUGUUCUCUGCACCCCACUCCUCCAGACAGGGCCCAGCACUGAGUCAGCUUCAAUAGGUAUUAAGAGCAUGCGUCAGUGAAUGGCCCCAUGUCAACCUGGCAGAAAAACUUAAUAAAUGGAUUUUUUAUUUUUAA